CUGCAACAGACAGGAAAUAUGUUUCUUUUAUCCAGAAGAUGUGUUGAUGAUGAAUACAUCCGAGGUUGGCAUCGUAUCCACAUAGAAAUGUAAGUGGUGGUAAAAGCACCUUUUUAGAUAGAAGAUGUUAUAGGAAUGCGGUUAAUAAUGUA
rnacentral:lncRNA from 1 species